UACUGGUAUCUAUUGGAAAUUAUGUCCCAAAAUCAAUCAUUAGUCUGUUGAUGGUUGUGCUUAUCAUUAUAAUUGUAUAUAAAUUAUUAAAUUAAUAAAUAUUAUUUGAUUUUUUCAUCACUAUGUAUAUCUCAUUUUGAACUCCUGUUAUGUGAUAUAGUCCUUAGGACUAUUUGAUUUGAUAUAGGAGGAUAUAUCA
rnacentral:lncRNA from 1 species